AUACGUAGGGGGCGAGCGUUGUCCGGAAUGAUUGGGCGUAAAGGGCGCGUAGGCGGCGCGGUAAGUCUGGAGUGAAAGUCCUGCUUUCAAGGUGGGAAUUGCUUUGGAUACUGUCGGGCUUGAGUGCAGGAGAGGUAAGUGGAAUUCCCAGUGUAGCGGUGAAAUGCGUAGAGAUUGGGAGGAACACCAGUGGCGAAGGCGACUUACUGGACUGUAACUGACGCUGAGGCGCGAAAGUGUGGGGAGCAAACAGGAUUAGAUACCCUGGUAGUCCACACUGUAAACGAUGAAUGCUAGGUGUAAGAGGUAUCGACCCCUUUUGUGCCGGAGUCAACACAAUAAGCAUUCCGCCUGGGGAGUACGGCCGCAAGGUUGAAACUCAAAGGAAUUGACGGGG
rnacentral:rRNA from 1 species